GAACAACAGGGAUUGCCCUAGUAACGGCGAGUGAAGCGGCAACAGCUCAAAUUUGAAAUCUGGCUCUUUCAGAGUCCGAGUUGUAAUUUGCAGAGGGCGCUUUGGCUUUGGCAGCGGUCCAAGUUCCUUGGAACAGGACGUCACAGAGGGUGAGAAUCCCGUACGUGGUCGCUAGCUAUUGCCGUGUAAAGCCCCUUCGACGAGUCGAGUUGUUUGGGAAUGCAGCUCUAAAUGGGAGGUAAAUUUCUUCUAAAGCUAAAUAUUGGCCAGAGACCGAUAGCGCACAAGUAGAGUGAUCGAAAGAUGAAAAGCACUUUGGAAAGAGAGUCAAACAGCACGUGAAAUUGUUGAAAGGGAAGCGCUUGCAGCCAGACUUGCUUGCAGUUGCUCAUCCGGGCUUUUGCCCGGUGCACUCUUCUGCAGGCAGGCCAGCAUCAGUUUGGGCGGUGGGAUAAAGGUCUCUGUCAUGUACCUCUCUUCGGGGAGGCCUUAUAGGGGAGGCGACAUACCACCAGCCUAGACUGAGGUCCGCGCAUCUGCUAGGAUGCUGGCGUAAUGGCUGUAAGCGGCCCGUCUUGAAACACGGACCAAGGAGUCUAACAUCUAUGCGAGUGUUUGGGUGUCAAGCCCGAGCGCGUAAUGAAAGUGAACGGAGGUGGGAACCCGCAAGGGUGCACCAUCGACCGAUCCUGAAGUUUACGGAAGGAUUUGAGUAAGAGCAUGGCUGUUGGGACCCGAAAGAUGGUGAACUAUGCUUGAAUAGGGUGAAGCCAGAGGAAACUCUGGUGGAGGCUCGCAGCGGUUCUGACGUGCAAAUCGAUCGUCAAAUUUGGGCAUAGGGCGAAAGACUAAUCGAACUAUCUAGUAGCUGGUU
rnacentral:rRNA from 1 species